AGGGAGAGAGAGAGAGAGUGAGAGAGAGAGAGAGAGAGAGAGAGAAAGCUCACCAGGAGUCCUCGCCGGAGCCACCGCACGCCAGGACGUCGUCAAGCUCGUCAUCACCAUCAACCGCAGCUCGAGGCCAUCAUCGUGUUCCUCUCGUCAAGACGAAGCCGUAGACACCAACCGCGUCACGAUCGGAGCCCGGACGAAGCCGUACGCGCCUCCGGAAGUUUCACCUCCGCGCGCGCGUGAGUUCCACGCGCCGCCGCCGGACCACCGUCCUCCGCCGCAGCGCCGCCGCCGGACCACCGUUCUCCGCCGCAGCUCCGCCGUCGCCGCCGGCCAACUUACCGAUUUGGAGUCCAUUUGAGCAGCUGGAGUUCAUAUAUACCACUUCUCUUCAUUGCUAAGGUGAGACCGACGAGCAGGAGUGAUUAUCGGACUGGUGCUAUUGGGCUUUUGGGCUUCUA